CCAGCGGCCGCGGUAAUUCCAGCCCCAGUAGCGUAUAUUAACGUUGUUGCAGUUAAAAAGUUCGUAGUUGAAUUUCUGGCUGUAGCACCCUGGCCCCUCAGGUAAAUUAGCCUCGAGGUUGUGCUGGUUGUGUGCUUGGUCAUCUUUUCCUGACCACCCCCUGGUUCGUUCAUUCGUUUCAGUGUUGGGUAUCAGGAUCUUUUACUUUGAAGAAAUUAGAGUGUUCAAAGCAGGCAUGAUUUGCUUCUGAAUACAUUAGCAUGGAGUAAUAAAAUAGGACUUUGGUGCUAUUUUGUUGGUUUCUAGUACUAAAGUAAUGAUUGAUAGGGACAGUUGGGGGUGCUAGUAUUGAAUGGUCAGAAGUGAAAUUCUCGGAUUCAUUCAAGACUAACUACUGCGAAAGCAUUCACCAAGGAUGUCUUCU
rnacentral:rRNA from 1 species